rnacentral:lncRNA from 1 species
AAGAAAUAUUCAAGUGAAUGUGCUUUUUCAGGGAUGGUGACACCAGAAUGUUUUAAAUCUGUUCAUUACCACAAUGGAUAAUGGCAUUUCUGCCAAAGACUUUUGCUAACGGGUGCAGUAAUGCAUGUCAGCACUUUCUGAAAUUAGAGGUUCCACCCUGAGAGAGUUCAUUUCAUUUCUCUGCAGAGGAUUUAACACGGACUACAAAAAUCUCAGGAUGCAGAGAGACCAAUAGAACACAAAAUUUCUACUGAAUGAAUUUCCCCACCU